rnacentral:lncRNA from 1 species
CAGCCGCGCUUUGGGGCGUCGGCUCACGUGGGGCCGGCAACGCGUCUUCCAGGAUGUUCGCGCGCUAGUCGCCGCUGAGGGGCCGGCGAUGCGCGAGGAGUUCCGGCGAGGAAGGUCGGUCAGUGGACAUGGCCGAGGCCCGCGGUGUCCGCGUGUGGGAGCUGCAGGGCUGAGGAGAGGCCGCCCGCAACCCUCGGGAAUCGUUCCCUUUAUAGGCACAACUGCUUAAAGAAACCAGAUGGCCCCAGGAUGGUGCCAGAGCUUCCUGACCCCUUAUCAGAUACCAGAGGAAGAUAAGACUGCAGAGCGGAACAGGAUAGGCAACCCCUGAUCCUUGAUCAAGUCACAUUUGCAGAGACCUCUUUUUCAAAUAAGAGACGAGGUCUCACUAUGUUGGCCAGGUUGGUCUCGAAUUCCUGGCCGCAAGCCGUUCUCCAGUCUGGGCCUCCCAAAGUGCUAGGAUUACAGGAACAGAAUUGCCAUUGGGCCCAGGGAGAGACUACACUUCUUGUCUGCUUUGUUGCUAGUGCGGCCUUGUGGCCAAGCACAGAACGUGUGCAGUGAUGAUGGUGCAACUUCUAGGUCGUCCCCAGCAUGGAAAAUGAGCCCUGGGCAUGGAAGAUGAGCCCUGGUCCUGCAGCGGUGCUCUUUCCUCUUCUCACAAGCUGGAAUGUGCAUGUGCUCCCACCCAGCUUUGACCAUGGGGCGAAAACAGUACUCUGCAGUCUGGCAGAGCAACAAGGUGGAAAGGGCCUGGGUCCUUGAGUGACGUCAUGAGCCCUCUCACUGUCCCGACUUUGGGACUGUUAUAUGAUAAGGACUUUCUGUGAGUCACUGUCUUUUAGAGUCUCUCUGUUUUAGCUGCCUGGACUUUAUCCUGAAUAAUAUGGCUGUUAUCAUGGGUAUAGUGUUACUAUGAGCCUCAUCUAAGUAAUUUCUACUCUGCCUUUGACCACUAAACUCAUGUUGGACAAGAGUCACUUAGCAUUAUUUUUUCCUCAAUGAAGAGGUUAAGAUGGAGGGAGCAGGAGAAAUUGAGGCCUGUGUUUUACCAGAAGGUGAAGGGCUGUCUUUGCCUUUCCUACAUUUAUGAAGGAUAAUUCUAGACAAAAACAUUAAGUUCAUAUCAAACCAUCUGCUUUGUGAAGCCAUGGGCUUUGCUAGAACUUUCUGUGACAUGACAUUUAUUAACCCGAGUCUACCUGGAAGUUAGAGCUGAGGAAGUUUUCCUAGAGUGGAAAAAGUCCAAUGCACUUGUAAAAGUCAGACCAAGCUCAGCUCAGAUUUCAGUUUUAUUAGAAGUAUGUCACCUUCCUGAGCCCUUAUUAUUUCCCCAUCUGUGAAAUGAGGACACCGUUCUCUCUUUCUAAGCAUUGCUGGGAAGACCACACACCACUGAGACAGAAGGUGGGGCUAGCGCAGUUCUGGGCAUUUUGUACACCCCCAACAAAUACUGAUUUAUUUCCUUCUUUUUCCUUGCUCAGAAAAAAUUGGAGAAGGCUUUAUU